rnacentral:tRNA from 1 species
GCGCGAGCUGGGCACCGGUGGGCCCACCCGACUGUAGAUCGGACUCCUCGGACGUGCAGGUUCGACUCCUGCCUCGCGCA